rnacentral:tRNA from 1 species
GCGACAGUAGUUUAAUGGUAGAAUAAGGGACUGUGGCUCCCUGGGCGAGGGUUCGAUUCCCUUCUGUCGCC